CACCGCCCGUCACACCAUGGAAGUUGAUUGCUCCAGAAGUGGCUGAGCUAACCCGCAAGGGAGGCAGGACCCCAAGGAGUGAUCGGUAACUGGGGUG
rnacentral:rRNA from 1 species